rnacentral:rRNA from 1 species
GACGAACCGUGCGAACGUUGUUCGGAUUCACUGGGCUUAAAGGGCGCGUAGGCGGCUUGCCAAGUCAGGGGGUGAAAUCUUUCGGCUCAACCGGAAAACAGCUUCUGAUACUGGCGGGCUUGAGGGAGGUAGGGGCGGAUGGAACUUCCGGUGGAGCGGUGAAAUGCGUAGAUAUCGGAAGGAACGCCGGUGGCGAAAGCGAUCCGCUGGACCUCCUCUGACGCUGAGGCGCGAAAGCCAGGGGAGCAAACGGG